CAUGGUGUGUGCAUGGUCUCCAUCCACCUGCACAACCUGCAGAACAGACCUCCACUCAGUUAAGUAGAAAGGCUGGUUCAGAAACCAGACCUUCAGAAGUCCGCUUUCAAGAGGCCUCUGACUCCUAAGAUGGGCUUAGGAGCAUUGAGAUAUUCGUCUCAGCCCCCCAAAAUGGAAGCCAUUUCCAUCCCUCCCAAGAGAAGUGAUUCUAAUAACACAAACAGCAAGGUCCACAUCAGAAUCCACCACCACGGCCUUCAAUGAUAAGACUUGCAGGUUCUUCCAUCACCAUAAAGUAUCAAAAAGAAGGUGUAAAAAUACCAUGGACACCCAAAUACCCCAAGACUGGCUCCAAGAGGGGUAAUAUAUAUAUUUAUAUUAUUU